rnacentral:rRNA from 1 species
CCCUAUGGGGUGCAGCAGAUGCCGAGAGAGACAUCCGCGGUUUUGCCGUCAAGUUCUACACCGAGGAGGGCAACUGGGACCUGGUGGGAAACAACACCCCUGUCUUCUUCCUGAGAGAUCCUCUCAAGUUCCCUGACCUGAACCACGCCAUUAAGUGCGAUCCGAGGACGGGCAUGCGCAGCGCCAAGAACAACUGGGAUUUCUGGACCUCUCUUCCUGAGGCUCUGCACCAGGUGACAAUCACCAUGAGCGAUCGGGGUAUCCCUUACUCCUUCCGCCACAUGCAUGGAUUUGGCAGCCAUACCUUCAGCAUGAUCAAUGCCAAGAACGAGAGGGUCUGGGUGAAGUUUCACUGGGUAACCCAGCAGGGAAUCAAGAACCUGACCGAUGCCGAGGCGGAGGCGAUCAUAGCCAAGGAUCGGGAGAGC